rnacentral:rRNA from 1 species
AUUGAACGCUGGCGGCAGGCCUAACACAUGCAAGUCGAACGAGUGGCGGACGGGUGAGUAAUGUAUGGGAAACUGCCUGAUGGAGGGGGAUAACUACUGGAAACGGUAGCUAAUACCGCAUACCAUCAGAUGUGCCCAGAGGGGAUUAGCUUGUUGGUGGGUUAACGGCUCACCAAGGCGACGCUCCCUAGAUGGUCUGAGAGGUGGACCAGCCACACUGGAACUGAGACACGGGCCAGACGCCUACGGGAGGCAGCAGGGGGUAAUAUUGCACAAGGGGCGAAAGCCGUAUGCAGCCAUGCCGCGUGUAUGAAGAAGGCCUUCGGGUUGGAAAGUACUUUCAGCGGGGAGGCGUUACCCGCAGAAGAAGCACCGGCUAACUCCGUGACAGCCGCCGCGGUAAUAC